CGCCCCCCGCGGGCUGCCAGGGAGGAGGGCACCGGGCCUCCCGGGGCUCUCACUCCCCGGGAUCCCAUUGCAGCCUGUCCAGCCUCAGAGAUGAUGUGAGCUGAAGUACAACCUUUCAUCCGCUAGGCAACACUACCUCUGCCACUCUGGAAAGUGGGAGUAGUUAGACUACCAGCUUCACCAAGCGGGUGGAGCAUCUUCCACUCACCAGGGCAUAAGGCGGCCCAAGCGGGUCCAGGAGGAUUUGCUAAUGCAGAAGCCCACCAGGGGGUCCGUGAUGGCAUCCCAGGCUCGGCCCACAAACAGGAUGAUGGAGGCGGAGAAAGGGUCCACCUGGCAGGGGG